CACCUGUGUUCGCCAGUGUCUGUAGUGAGAUCUAGACCGCUGUGAUGCCAGGAAGGAAGCAGAGCUGUGCUCUGCACAGACGCGGCCCUGGAAUUCGGGACAGCAGGAACAAAGCCGGCGACACCCCUGAGCUGAGGUCAGAAGUCCCCGCUGAGGCUCAGCGGGAAAGUAAUUGCCCUGCAAGCAUGAGGACCCGAGUUCUGUCUCCCAGAACCCAGGCUGAAAGAUCUGGCUGUGGUGCCACACACUGGGAACCCCAGGGAUGGGGAGGCAGACAGAGAUAGUGUCUCUCACUGAACCAGAAGAUCGUAUGUUUGGCUUGGCUGACUGGCCACUGGCCAGCAAGCCCUCAGAGCUGAGCUAUCUCCACCCGGAUACCAGUGUAACGAACACUGUGGCCACAUCCAGAUAUUCAUGAGUGCUGGGGAUUUGAACUCAUGCCAUUAUGCUUGAAAAGCAAGUGCUGUUACCCAUUGAGCCACCAUCUCCACAGCCUGAGAUGAGCAAGUUCUUUGGAGACCAAUCCCGGCAGCACUAUCUGACAGAGCUGGAGUCUUCUCAAGCUGUGAAAAGAGCCCCACCCACAGCCACUAUGGCAGGCAGCACACUGGACAGGGAAGCAAACGUGGCUCACUCGUGAAUGUGCUUCUCCUCUGGGAUCUUAAGGCUGACCCGUCAGAUGAAGCCGCCCUUAACCUCAUCCCCACAGCAUCACCCAUUCUACUGUUGUCUAUCUGCCUUCCUUUGUUCGGGCACUCACAGAAUGUGGACACUAACAAGGGACAAGGUGUCCACAGUACCGGCUUCAGGGAGCUGUUCCGCAGCCAGAUGACGCCUUCCGUGAGCAAACUGGAGGGUUUGCUGUAAGAAGUGCGCAUGCGCCAACUUGGAGCUUCCUUGUUCCUGUGUUAGAGCUGUCUUUUCCACCAUCGCCUUACUGGAUCUUCUCUCCUCUCCAUUUUCUUCUCCCCGCCCUCCAGGUGCUCUUUGGGGCUUAAUUACUCAAAAUGUGACACGUUCCCACGCCGUUAUGGUCUUUACCAUGACUGCACCACAGCCCUCACGUUGACCCAGCAGAUGGAUCUGUGAAGAGCUGACAGCCUUGUGCUCUGUGCUGCUUGGCAGCCCAGGGGGCGGGGGUCCAGGCUGUGAGACUGUGCCGCGUGGGCUUUGAGGUUUGCGUCGUGUUUAGAAGUGACUGUACAUAAGCAGCGGGUUUGAGGGAUGAGACGUAUUUCUAAGGUAAGUCAACUUAGACAGGCAGGCUGGGCCGCUUUGUCUAAGAGAAGAGGAUCUGGGUGACAUGACAGGCAAUUUUCAGCUCAGCAAAGUCACUAUUGCCGAAAUUAAGUGAUAUGUAUCCGUACUUUCCCUCCUACUUCCUGGCUUCUGCAUCUAGUCCCUUAUGCCACGGCUGUGAGAAAGAACAUGUUAAAAUAUUACAAUACUAGUUUCACGAAUAAGAACAUUCAGGAUGGCUGGCGCAGCAGAGUCGGGUGUAGGACUCGGUGUCCCUACACCUUUUGACAUUCACUGUUUUCUAUUGGAAACCGUGACUCCUCCGUGCAAUGAGGCCCUUUUGUCUCCACGGUAACAGCCUUGGGCGGUGCUAGACUGAGACCUAAAGACCCCCAAACCUGGCAUCCUCUUCAUCUGUCAGGUUUUCAGCUUUUCUUUUCACGCUGUCCAGCUGCUGAAUGGGGCUCUGGGGACUCACGGAAACUGAUAUGUCUCACUCUGUGACAACUCCAGCACCAGCUCCCCUGCUGUAUUCACAGGCUUACUAGCUGCCUUCCUAUGUCUGUCUGUCUAGCUAUUAUCUCUUUGUAAUACAAGGUCUUAAGUUAGCAGUCUCUCCCCAAACUGGAACUUCUGAUCCUCCUGCCUCCACUUCCCUGUGCUGGGAUUACAGAUAUGAGACAUCACACCCAGUUAACAUUCCUUAGUGACUCUCCCUCUACCCCAGGCUGUUCUGGAACUGGCUAUGUAGCCGAGCCUGGCCUGCAACUCAAAGUCACCCUGUGGCAACCUCCCAAGUGCUGGGGUUACAGGUGUAAGCUGACCUAUCGGCUACUCAUCUUCACCUAUGGACUGCUGAAACCCUCGGCAUCUGUACCAAUUGCUUUGGCCCCUAGUCCUUGUCUUAUAUCUCCAGGACUCUCUCACUGAUGAGAGAAUUAUCUACAGUGUUCAGCAGAAUGCCAGGGUCCUGUUGUGACUUGAAAUCUCUGUUGAAACAAUAAAUGAUUUUAGACACGAGCCAAAAGUAGAAGGCAUCAGCUUUGUGGCAAGCACCAAUCUUCCCACUCAUCAGCACCUCUCGGGCUCACAUUCACCCCAGGUCAUGCAGCCCACACAACCCAUCCUGGCUCCCCAGUGGGAAAACUACUCAAGAAGGGAAGCACCACCAGAAACUACAGAACACUUUGGAAAAUGUCAUCUGCCUUUGCUAGUGCCUUCCUUCUUUGGUAUAACCUUCCCUUCCUAAAAAUGACUCUUUCUGUCACAUUCCUAUUGCCAUCCUUGCUAAAGAACAAGAAAGACUGAAAAAAAAUGCCUUUGAAAUAAGUGCCAGCAGCCUGCGGUCUACUCAUUGCAGUACUCUGGUUUAAACAGCUACCUUGCCAAAAAUUAAAAUAAAGAGUAAAUAGAAGCCUUGGGGAUCCAGGGCAGGACUCCUGACCCACCUGGUGAUCGCUAACGCUGGGUAGAUGAUGCAAGGCUCUACAUCAAAUGUUUUCACCAUGUUGUGUCAUUUAGUGAUUACCAUAACCAGAAAGGUUACCAUCUGGGUUUGAUAAGGGAAACAAACAACCCCUCCCUAACCUUAGAAAGGGAAUUAAUUUGAUGAAAGUCAAAGAAAACCCGUUUAAGCCCAGGUAGUCAGCACUAAGGGGAGGCUGUCAGUGACAGUGGAUCCUAUGACUUCCCUUCCAAUACCUAUCCUCAAUCCAUCUGUGCAUUUGCAAGGCCAUCUUAACUCUAUGCUUUUUAUUUUUUCAACAAAAAAGAUUAGAAGACUAAUCUUUUGCGUGUUUUCCAAAAGUGAGACUCAAGUAUACUUCCAAGUAAUGUCAGAAAAAUUAUUUAGUCUUUCGAAACCUAGUUGACAUACAGUCCAGCCAUGCGGGAGCAGCAUCCUAGAGAAGACUGAGAGCCCGGCUUCGUUCUGUCAAGGAGUCAGCAGGCGGGAGAAAAAUGUUAGCAGAGACUUCCAGAAUGUCUCCCUCUAGACUGUGCAGAAAAAAACACAUCCAGUGUGUGAGUUGGAUCCCAUCAUCUUCUGCUCAGGGGUAUGGUUACCAAGUAUUUUAACACUUCACUGCAUCCAGAGCUAUUUUAGCUGGGUAUGAUAGCAUAUGCCUAUACUCCCAGGAAACAUACACUUGGAAGUCUAUGGCAGGAGGAUGGCUAUGAGUUUAAGCCAUCCCAGGCUAUACCAUGGUGAGUUCUAGACUAGCCUGGGUUAUAUAGAUCCUAUCUUAAACAGACAAAACAAGGCAAACAACCCAGUUGCUGUGUGAUGGGACUGGACUCGUAGUUGUCCUUGUUCCCUCUUCUUUACUGUUCCUUAAGUGACCAACUGUAAACCCAAAGCUACUUAGUCUUGACAACAGGUACUCGUGUGACCCAUCUUGUCCACAAAUACUAAUUUUUAACUGCAAAAGAAAAUGUAUAAAUUAAAUUGUAUAAAAUUAAAAGCAUUUCCUCUUCAAAGACAAAAACCAAAGGCAAAUGACACUCUGGGAAAAAACUAAAACCACAAUGUAUCAGCAUAUCUGAAAAAGAUUUUAUAUCCAGAGUAUAAAGAAAAAAAGUCAAAGCUUAGCAACGAGUCAAAAGCCACAAAUAAAAGCAAAAUAUACACAGCUGUCCACACAAGAAGAGCUGUGAAUGGCCACUAAGAUGUUCAACUCAUUAUUCAAGGGAAAAAUGGAAGAUAAAACCACAGCAAUGUCUCCUACACAUUAGAAAGGCAACAAGUGAAAGAACUAGAAAUCCCUGCUUUUGUUGAGAUUGCAGAGCAACUGGCCCUCUUUCAGUUGAAGGUCCAAACUGUACAGCAGCUUUGAGAGCAGUUGGCAGAUUCCUGACAUUAAAUUACCUAUUGCUACACCUCAGAGAAUGGGGGAGAGGGGAAGCAGUGAGGUCCAGAGUUAGGAGAUGGUAAGAAACUGCAAACAUUGAAACAGCACAGAGAAUAGAAGACAGAAAAAAAAUACGACCGAGUUGACCUGGGUUCAAGUCCUAGCACCCACAUGGUGGCUCACAACCAUCAUAACUGCAGUUCCAGGGACUCUGAUGCCCUCUUCUGACUGUCUUGGGCACCAAUGACGUGGUAGGAAUACAUAAAUGCAUGUAAAUCACUCAUACAUGUAAUAGAAAUAAAUCUACAUUUUUAAGAUUAAAAAAAAUUAUUUUGUGAAUGCGUACGUUGCUCUCAGGGGCCAGGAGAGGGCACGAGGUCCUCUGCAGCUAGAG